rnacentral:sRNA from 1 species
UUUUUAGGAGGACUGGCAGGAUCUCCCAUUAGAUGGUCUAGAUAGUAAUGUUAGAGCUUAUCCUGUUCAGCUUGUUAUUUCUGCACCAUCUGUUUAUUACACAAGAGUCUACAACUUCUAUGAUUAUGCAGAAACAUUUCCCAUUGAUGGCAUUUAUGAUGUGUCCCAAUGCUUUCCUGAAAACCAAAAGCUUUACUUCAGAUUGGCUUUUCCCACUUAUUUUAGCCCGAAGACUGAAUCUGCAUGGAUCAAAGCUGUACAUAUGGGGUUGUUGACAACUAUGCAAGUUCAUCCUAUUCGAAUAACAGAUAUCUCAGUGGAGGGACAAGACUUUAAUACUUAUGUGAAUGUUGUCCUUCUGGGUACAGCCAACGCAGGUGGGUAGAGUUAUAAU